GAACUCUGGUAUUGAUUGGUGCAUGGUUGUCGUCAGCUCGUGUCGUGAGAUGUUGGGUUAAGUCCCGCAACGAGCGCAACCCUUAUUAUCAGUUGCCAGCAUUAAGUUGGGCACUCUGGUGAGACUGCCGGUGACAAACCGGAGGAAGGUGGGGAUGACGUCAAAUCAUCAUGCCCCUUAUGACCUGGGCUACACACGUGCUACAAUGGAUGGUACAACGAGUUGCGAACUCGCGAGAGUAAGCUAAUCUCUUAAAGCCAUUCUCAGUUCGGAUUGUAGGCUGCAACUCGCCUACAUGAAGUCGGAAUCGCUAGUAAUCGCGGAUCAGCAUGCCGCGGUGAAUACGUUCCCGGGCCUUGUACACACCGCCCGUCACACCAUGAGAGUUUGUAACACCCAAAGUCGGUGGGGUAACCUUUUAGGAACCA
rnacentral:rRNA from 1 species